GAAGCGGAAGAUCACAAUUCCCUGUUUUGUGGAAAGGAUUUGGCCACCUGAUUCCCAUUUCAGUGGAAGGAAUGUUGGUGUUGCCCUGCGGAGCCCUGAGCCAUUGGCUGUGACCGGACUGCAGGCUGGCGGAGCAAGUCUUGUUGCGCAACGUGUUUCUCUACUUUUGCAGUGGAGUGGACAGAAGUCCUGGGAAGAUGAGAAUGCAACCAGAAUCUUGUAGACUUCAGCUGAGGUCUGAGGACCUUGCAGCUUUUGUCCAUUCAGCAUCUCAUUUUCCAGCUCCUCGAUGGACUAGAAGAGAGGAGACUUGAUUAUUUGGAUCAGAGGGGAUACUGCUGUGAUGCCAGCAGUUAUCAAGAAGGUUGGAAAACUGGCACAUGAACUACACAUCUUGUCUGUGCUCACUCAAUCACCCAGUGGCAGGACUCAGACCCUGUGGCUUACAGAAGACUCAGGGAGAUCCACAGAUGACUAAGUUGAAUGUUGGCACUGCUGGAACAGGUUUGUUACCAGUUCUACAGAAGUCAUGCAUCACGUUGCUACAGUGCUCGCCCUAGGUACCAAGAGCAAGGGUAGAGAGAGCCCUCGCUGGCAAAGGAGCUGGGGUCUGCUUUUGUCCGAAGAGCCCAUGGCCAGCUGGGCAAAGACUUUUGACUGGAGUUUCACUUCACUUUUAUACGAGGCAGCUUGGUUUCCUUCAGAGAGAGAGCACAGCAGGGAGUUUUAUUACCCUGAGGCACUGCACGCUGCUAGCUGUGGGGUUUCUGCCCCAUCUCAUGAGAACCUUCGGGUCUGCUUCUUGUUCUUCGCAAUAAUUGAUGUUGCGUGCUACCUGGUCUCCUUGAGGUGGCCGUUUCUGGGCUCUGUGGCUUUCCAUGAGGACACAAACAAGGGGCAAAGCUCUUCACACAGUCAUCUUCACAGCAUGGCUUCAGACUGGGCCAGCAGAAGUUAAAUUCCCCCCAAGAAAAUGAAUAUUGCUCAACUCUCCUUAUCAUAUCCAGUCCUAUCUGUACCUAGCUGCUCUGCCAGAAACAAAUGCCCAGCUGGUACAGUUUUCACUAUUACUGUAACAUUUGCAGGACAAAGGAACAGUAUUGCAGCAACAAUUUUGGGUUUGUUUUUUUUUUGAGGGGGGUGGUGUUGGGUGUUUUUUGGGUUUUUUUGCCUUCCCUAGCUAUGGAAGGAUCUAACUUUAAUUUUGACUAACUUCAAAAAUCAAUGGGUUUUAAAAACUACUGGAUGAACUUUCCAAAUCAGGUCAAACCCAGUUCUGGGAGGAUCUGAAGCUAUGCCUUGGCAAGCAGCCUGAAUGCAAGGGAGGAACAGAAUGUUACUGGGUUUGGUUGUUUUUUUUUUUUUUGUUUUGGUCUUUUGGGUUUUUUUCAAGCAAAGAUAUUUGAAGAUGGAGAAAUACACCUCAGAAAGUGUGAGUGCAUACCAGCUUCUCAUUACACUUUUCUAUCUAGACUGCAUAGUGUGUCAACUGCCAGUGUGUUCAGCGUUGAGCUGUACAGGCAUAAAAGCUGGCUCUUGCCAGCUCCUACAGAAACAGGAUUAAGGUGUGAUUUUUUAAUGGAUUAAAUUAGCUCUCAGCACUGAAACCUGCUGUCAAUUUGGAUCCGAUCCUGCCAGCACCAAGCUCCCUGGAAAUAAUGCUGCCUCCCUGAACAAGCUCAGUGGGCACUGCACCACUCGGGAACCGACUGGGACCUGUUGCACCCCCCUGCUCCCUUCAGAGAGGUUAUCCUGUUGCCCAGCCACGGGUGACAUUAAACCCCAGCUAGCAGCUCUAAUUUGCA